UACGGAGGGUGCGAACGUUAAUCGGAAUCACUGGGCGUAAAGGGUGCGUAGGCGGGGCUUUAAGUCAGGGGUGAAAUCCUGGAGCUCAACUCCAGAACUGCCUUUGAUACUGAAGAUCUUGAGUUCGGGAGAGGUGAGUGGAACUGCGAGUGUAGAGGUGAAAUUCGUAGAUAUUCGCAAGAACACCAGUGGCGAAGGCGGCUCACUGGCCCGAUACUGACGCUGAGGCACGAAAGCGUGGGGAGCAAACAGG
rnacentral:rRNA from 1 species